rnacentral:rRNA from 1 species
GAUGAACGCUGGCGGCGUGCCUAAUACAUGCAAGUCGAGCGAACGGACGAGAAGCUUGCUUUUCUGAUGUUAGCGGCGGACGGGUGAGUAACACGUGGAUAACCUACCCAUAAGACUGGGAUAACUUCGGGAAACCGGAGCUAAUACCGGAUAAUAUUUUGAACCGCAUGGUUCAAAAGUGAAAGACGGUCUUGCUGUCACUUAUGGAUGGAUCCGCGCUGCAUUAGCUAGUUGGUAAGGUAACGGCUUACCAAGGCAACGAUGCAUAGCCGACCUGAGAGGGUGAUCGGCCACACUGGAACUGAGACACGGUCCAGACUCCUACGGGAGGCAGCAGUAGGGAAUCUUCCGCAAUGGGCGAAAGCCUGACGGAGCAACGCCGCGUGAGUGAUGAAGGUCUUCGGAUCGUAAAACUCUGUUAUUAGGGAAGAACAUAUGUGUAAGUAACUGUGCACAUCUUGACGGUACCUAAUCAGAAAGCCACGGCUAACUACGUG